rnacentral:rRNA from 1 species
UAUGGGUGUGCCAGCCGCCGCGGUAAUACGGAGGAUCCGAGCGUUAUCCGGAUUUAUUGGGUUUAAAGGGAGCGUAGGUGGACUGGUAAGUCAGUUGUGAAAGUUUGCGGCUCAACCGUAAAAUUGCAGUUGAUACUGUCAGUCUUGAGUACAGUAGAGGUGGGCGGAAUUCGUGGUGUAGCGGUGAAAUGCUUAGAUAUCACGAAGAACUCCGAUUGCGAAGGCAGCUCACUGGACUGCAACUGACACUGAUGCUCGAAAGUGUGGGUAUCAAACAGG